rnacentral:tRNA from 1 species
GCUCAGUGGUCGAGCGUUGGCUUUGGAAGCCACAGGUCGGUGUUUCAAAUCCACC